UGCACUUUUCACAUCCAUGGUAACCUGCAUGGCCUUUCACUUUUUUCAGAAAUGCACGUGCAGGUGCAUCACAGAUCAUAGAGGUGGCAGUAAUACGCCUUUCUAUAAAUCUGUAUGCCAAACGCCAAUGUUAAGAAGAAGAUUAACCACUUCCACGAGCUUCACGCCACGGCUUUUUACAGAAUUCUGUUCUGAUGUUGAGCUGUGGUCCCUUCAUCCAGACGCUCUUCGAAAACCAGUCUCUUUCACAGACAUCAGGGUCCAGUGACUACUUUUGGGGGGUCUGCAAACUUCCAAUGAGGACCAUUGACCAAUUGAAAAGGAUUCACUCAAGGAGGGAUUAAAUGCCACCAUCUCACCCCAAUACCUUGGAAAUUAUGGGUCAAUUAUUGGGUGAUGGCUUUUCCACCACCAAAACGCUUGUAAAUAGUUGCCUAAAACACAUGAAUAGUUAAUUGUUUUAGGCUGGAACCGUUUAUUUUAAUUUCUAAUAAUACAUUUUAAAAUAUAAUUGUAUAAAAUGCCAUGUUGUUUUAUGUAUUGUAAAUAAACAAGUCAUUCAGCACCAUUUCAGUAAGUAACUAAUGUCAAGCAGUUGUGACUGUUGCGCAUAAUUAUUGUGAUGCUGUAUAAAGUAAUAUCAAAGGUGACAACAUACUUGCCACACAAUUUUUAUAUCAAUUGACAUGACAAAAGUGCAGUUGAGGCAUGACAAUGUCAAAGUUGCAUCAACAGCAGCUUGUAAAUGGGAUGAUUUUGAAUUAAAACUUUCUUGAAAUUAUUAUAAUUUUAAUUGGUGUCAAUGAUCCCUUUGAUGCAAAUUCGAGUGACUAUUUACCUCACAAUCACAUAACAUGUUGUAUUUGGUUAUGACAAAUGGGGAAAGUCAAAAUUUGUCAGCAACUUGUACAAACUGUUCUGCUUGAUUUUGAAUUAUCUGCAGAUUAAUUUGGGCAUGCAUUCAUGGCAGCUUGGUGUAUGUUUCAAUCAUGGCUAUCAGCUUUUACAACAGUACUGCAAAAUAAAUUCUCAACAUCUGAAGUG